rnacentral:rRNA from 1 species
GGGGGGGUUAAGAAUUUUGAGUAUUCCGCUUUCACCUCUCCCUUGUGCGAGAGGCGCGGUAAAUCAACUCCAUAGGGGAUAUUGAAGUUGUUGCAAUUAAAAAGCCCGGAAAUUGAACCUUGGGCCUGGCUGGCCGGUCCGCCUCACCGCGUGUACUGGUCCGGCCGGGCCUCUCCAUCUGGGUGCCGCAGGCCCUUCACUGGGCGUGCCGGGAAACCAGGACUUUUACUUAAAAAAAAUGACAGUGUUCAUCCACGCCUUUGCUCAACUAAUUUAGCAUGGAAUAAUAGAAUAGGACGUGCGGUUCUAUUUUGUUGGUAUCUAAGACCGCCGCAGGAUUAAUAGGUAUAGUCCGGGGCAGCAGUAUUCAAUUGUCAAAGGUGAAAUUCUUGGAUUUAUUAAAAACUGAUACUGCGAAUGAAUUGCCAGGAUGUUUUCAUUAAUCAGUGAACGAAGUUGAGGGAACCAAGACGAUCACAGACCGUCCUAGUGUUGAGCAUCAACUAUGCCGACUAAGUGUCGGUGGAAGUUACUAUCCUUGACUCCACGGGCACCUUACAAGAAAUGAGAGUUUUGGGGUUCAGGGGAAAUAUGGUCGCACGCGGAAGCUUAGGGAAUUGACGGACGG